rnacentral:ribozyme from 1 species
AAAUCUUUCGUUGCAGUACUGACUUUCCUCUCUGCUUUCAGGCAUGGUCUCUUUGAUGCAGAGAAGGUCAAGCAUUUAGGCCCCCAAAACAUAGGAGCACUCCAUCGAUUGAUCCUCUCUCUCCACACAAUCAGAGACACGGAAGGAAUCAGAACGGAGGUAGCGG